CUCAGGGCAGGGUGCAAUUCCCGACCGGCGGUAAACCCCGCGAGCCGAAAGGCCGAAUCGGUGCGAUUCCGAUGGCGACAGUACAGUCUGGAUGGAAGAGAU
rnacentral:ncRNA from 1 species